GGCCUGCAGCCUCUGCCCUGGCCUCAUGUUGUCCCUCUUGCUGUCUGCUGCUGCAGGGAGGGCACAGGGAGGAGGCGGAGCUGGGGCUGCACUUCCAACUGGGGAGGGAAGUGAGAUCAGAGCCCACUUCAGGGACCUGCCAGCAGGGCAGUCGCUCCCACCUCACCGAGGGCAGGGGUUCCUGCGCUUCAGGAAAAAGAAGGCUUUGAACAGGGCCGCCAGGGGGCAUGUCCCCGGCGUCUGCCCCACAGGAACCUCACAUCGGGGUGACUGCCAGUCUUGACAUUCCGGAGGGCCAGGCCUGGGGGCUUCAAUCUGCUUCCGGAGCCAUCCUCCCCUUCCUGGGCAGGGCUGCAAGCUGGGUCGGGGGCAGCUCUUGGCUGCCCUUGAGCACUGGAGCCAAUUGUGGAGCUUGCAGAGACACUGCUGCUGUCCCGGGUGCCGGCCUGGAUCAGCCAGAGCAGAGCAGAAGACAGAGAAACCAUGGAACGACCAGCUGCAGAGAGGAGCUGCCCUCUGCCAAGAGCUUCAGAUGACAGGACAACCUGCCUGCAGAGAGGAUAACCUGCCUGAAGAGAGGAUAACCUGCCUGCAGAGAGGAGUCACCCGCUCUAGGGCUUCCUCUCAGGGGAAAGCUGGAGAGGAAGGGAUGACCAGCUGCGGAGAGGAGCUACCCUCUCUACUAAGAACUGAACAGUUGUUGGGAUGACCUGCUUGCAGAGAGGAGCUACCCUCUCUGCUAAGAGCUGAAGACUCACCCAGACACUCUGACUACAGAGAGGAGCUGCCCACUGCGGGUCUUCCCUGAGCUGUUCUAUUGCUCAAUAAAGCUCCUCUUCAUCUUGCUCACCCUCCACUUGUCUCUGUACCUCAUUCUUCCUGGUCAUAGACAAGAACUCGGGACCCACUGAAUGGUCAGGCUAAAUGAGCUGUAACAAAACACAGCUGAAACAUGCCCCUUGCUCACCACAUUGUAGCUGAAGAGGAGAGAAGAGCUAUGGCCCUGUGGGGAGCCCAGACCUGGGAGCUCUUUGAGCCUGGGCUGUGACUCCCCCUUUAAGGCCCUGUGGUUUCUCACGUAUUAAGCUUCCAGGUGCUAC
rnacentral:lncRNA from 10 species